CACAUCAGUAUUUAUUCUCUGAAAGCUCUGAUCUGUGCCUGAUACAAAAAUGAAGAGUUUGUGCUUCUUGAUGCAUUUUCCAUUUGCUGUCUCAUAGUCUUUCUAGCUCUUCCUAGAUUUUCUUGUUUGUUUUAAAUUCCAUUGAAACCAUGGCAGCAAGGGCAGUGGAAGGAAAGAAUAAAGAAGGUGGAGAAGAUGGAGUCCUUUUAUACCUGAGUUUAGGGCACAGGUGGGAAUAUGCUGAAGCAGAAGCACCGAAGUCAGAAGGUCUUCUAAGGUGGAGAGAAACAAAAAGAACAUCUUCGGAAGGAGAGGCAGCAUCUGGAUGCUGAAGAGAAAGAAGCCAGAAUAUUUGCUGAGCACAGAAGAGUUGGGAGGCACAAACGUCUUCAAGAAAUCUAUAGGAGUCACAUGUACUCGUCUGCCUUAGAUUUCAAACUACUCCAACGUAAGAAUAGUUAUUUUUAGAAACUAUUUGCAGGGUAGCUAUUGACUUUGUACAGCCUACUCAUUGGAUCUAGCUGUGCCCCCUUCCCCUGUCAUCCUUCUUGUAUCAUUUGCCAAUGCUUGUCCUUUAGUGACCUCAGAUCACUGCCAUGUCACAAGGAGAAGCAAAACUGGAGAAAUUAUAUCCAGUGGUGGACAAGGAUUUCCCACCAUCCUACGGUAUUUUGACAGAACAAAAUAAGUCAAAUUAUCCAUUCACUUCUCAUGAACAGUUGUAUAUUAGCUGUCUUAUUGGAAAAUGUUGUUGAAAUAUUUUAACAGUUGGCACCAAUUCCCAGAAUUUAAAUAUCCAGCGUUGCAAAAAAUCAACUUUCCUUAGAGGAACCUAGGUUUAAACAGACAUCAGUAGCAGAGCAAUUGUUGGCUCUUCAGUAUUGACAUAGCUUUGUUUCCACUGAAGUUAAAUCAUUAAUUCUUUUUAAAAUUACAUCCAAUAUAACCUCUCUUUCAAAUUCCUUUUUAUGUGGCAUGAGGCAUAACACUUUGUUGAUUGUAAGCUAAAUGUGCUCUUUGUCCCUGUGCUCUAUCUAUGCAGAAUUCAAAAUUACAAUCCAGCAACGUUUGGAACUGUGUAAAAUGCAAAGCUCUAGCAUAUGGUGAAAAACACACAGCUGCAUUUAUACACUAAAUAAAGACCUUGUUUUUAUUUCAGUUUCACCACCAGAUGAAGGUAAAAACAGAAUUAAUCUGUUGAAGUCAGUGACAUUAUAUAGCAGUUACACUGCAGAAUGGUCAGAAUUAGGAACUUUUUUAAUUUGUCCAGCCCUUAGCCCACUUGUGAGAUGUUGACACAUGGGUACAAAAAGAAGGAGCUAGGGUCACUGUGAAAAUGAAUGUGUUGUCUUUCAUUCAGUGUAGAAGGGUCUGCAUCAUUAAUUUGAAUAUUCACUUCUAUCUAUGAUACUCCCAUGCAUUUUGUCAGAUUACAAUCUGCCUGAGCUGUCUGGAAUUUGCUUUCAGGCGCUUGUAUUUCUGUGCCACUUGAAAAAAUACCAUGGUGGUAGUCUGAGCAUGGAAAUAAAAGCCAGGAAACUUGAAGAUACAGUUCCCUCAGUAACCAUGUGUCAUCCAGAUUGCUCACAAUAAGGCAAAGCAUUAACAGCAUGAAUGAUAACAUCAACCACUUCACUGCAGAAGAGAAAUGGCAGUGCAUUAUGUCUGUAGAGGGAACCAUAAUUCAGAGUUGCCUGCCUUUUGUGCAUUACUUGUUUUCAUUCACAGAGCUUUUUAUGCCUUGAAAAUGCACUGCUAUACUUCCACAAAUUGCAUGGCACGAUUUUACAGGGCUCCUGACAUGCAACAAGCAAAAAAUUUUGGAAGGGUUUGCAUGAUGGGUGGUUUUUAAGGGAGGACCCCAUGUUGGAGGGCACCUUCAGCCAUCAGACAAUAUUGCUAAGAUCAGGCCAAUUCUCUGGUGAAUAAAACACACUAUCAUUCACGGAUUUUGUAUUUGGAGCAAUUCAG